GACGAACGCUGGCGGCGUGCCUAAUACAUGCAAGUCGAACGAGAGCGACCGGUGCUUGCACUGGUCAAUCUAGUGGCGAACGGGUGAGUAACACGUGGGUAACCUGCCCAUCAGAGGGGGAUAACAUUCGGAAACGGAUGCUAAAACCGCAUAGGUCUUCGAACCGCAUGGUUUGAAGAGGAAAAGAGGCGCAAGCUUCUGCUGAUGGAUGGACCCGCGGUGCAUUAGCUAGUUGGUGAGGUAACGGCUCACCAAGGCCGUGAUGCAUAGCCGACCUGAGGGGGUGAUCGGCCACAUUGGGACUGAGACACGGCCCAAACUCCUACGGGAGGCAGCAGUAGGGAAUCUUCCGCAAUGGACGCAAGUCUGACGGAGCAACGCCGCGUGAGUGAAGAAGGUUUUCGGAUCGUAAAACUCUGUUGUUAGAGAAGAACAAGUGCUAGAGUAACUGUUAGCGCCUUGACGGUAUCUAACCAGAAAGCCACGGCUAACUACGUG
rnacentral:rRNA from 1 species